rnacentral:rRNA from 1 species
GACGAGGCACUACGGUGCUGAAGCAACAAAUGCCCUGCUUCCAGGAAAAGCCUCUAAGCAUCAGGUAACAUCAAAUCGUACCCCAAACCGACACAGGUGGUCAGGUAGAGAAUACCAAGGCGCUUGAGAGAACUCGGGUGAAGGAACUAGGCAAAAUGGUGCCGUAACUUCGGGAGAAGGCACGCUGACACGUAGGUGAAGUGAUUUACUCAUGGAGCUGAAGUCAGUCGAAGAUACCAGCUGGCUGCAACUGUUUAUUAAAAACACAGCACUGUGCAAACACGAAAGUGGACGUAUACGGUGUGACGCCUGCCCGGUGCCGGAAGGUUAAU